GCUUAACACAUGCAAGUCGAACGAUGAAGCCCAGCUUGCUGGGUGGAUUAGUGGCGAACGGGUGAGUAACACGUGAGUAACCUGCCCUUAACUCUGGGAUAAGCCUGGGAAACUGGGUCUAAUACCGGAUAGGAGCGUCCACCGCAUGGUGGGUGUUGGAAAGAUUUAUCGGUUUUGGAUGGACUCGCGGCCUAUCAGCUUGUUGGUGAGGUAAUGGCUCACCAAGGCGACGACGGGUAGCCGGCCUGAGAGGGUGACCGGCCACACUGGGACUGAGACACGGCCCAGACUCCUACGGGAGGCAGCAGUGGGGAAUAUUGCACAAUGGGCGAAAGCCUGAUGCAGCGACGCCGCGUGAGGGAUGACGGCCUUCGGGUUGUAAACCUCUUUCAGUAGGGAAGAAGCGAAAGUGACGGUACCUACAGAAGAAGCACCGGCUAACUACGUGCCAGCAGCCGCGGUAAUACGUAGGGUGCGAGCGUUAUCCGGAAUUAUUGGGCGUAAAGAGCUCGUAGGCGGUUUGUCGCGUCUGUCGUGAAAGUCCGGGGCUUAACCCCGGAUCUGCGGUGGGUACGGGCAGACUAGAGUGCAGUAGGGGAGACUGGAAUUCCUGGUGUAGCGGUGAAAUGCG
rnacentral:rRNA from 1 species